rnacentral:rRNA from 1 species
AACGAACGUUAGCGGCGGGCCUAACACAUGCAAGUCGAACGCGAAAGGUCUUCGGACUGAGUAGAGUGGCGCACGGGUGAGUAACACGUAGGUAAUCUACCCUUUGGCGGGGGAUAACGUUCCGAAAGGAGCGCUAAUACCGCAUAAGACCACGGAGUCUCCGGACGCUGUGGGAAAAGGUGGCCUCUUCUUGAAAGCUACCACCGAAGGAUGAGCCUGCGUCCCAUCAGCUAGUUGGUAAGGUAAUGGCUUACCAAGGCGAAGACGGGUAGCUGGUUUGAGAGAAUGAUCAGCCACACUGGCACUGGAACACGGGCCAGACUCCUACGGGAGGCAGCAGUGAGGAAUAUUGGGCAAUGGGCGAAAGCCUGACCCAGCCACGCCGCGUGAGUGAUGAAGGCCCUCGGGUCGUAAAGCUCUGUGGAGAGGGACGAAAACCCUGGUUUCAAAUAGGCUCCAGGCUUGACGGUACCUCUUUAGCAAGCACCGGCUAACUCUGUGCCAGCAGCCGCGG